rnacentral:rRNA from 1 species
CUACGGGAUGCAGCAGUGAGGAAUAUUGCACAAUGGAGGAAACUCUGAUGCAGCAACGCCGCGUGGAGGAUAACGCAUUUCGGUGUGUAAACUCCUUUUAUAUGUCAAGAAAAUGACGGUAGCAUAUGAAUAAGCUCCGGCUAACUCCGUGCCAGCAGCCGCGGUAAUACGGAGGGAGCAAGCGUUACUCGGAAUCACUGGGCGUAAAGGACGCGUAGGCGGGAUAGAAAGUCAGGUGUGAAAUCCUAUGGCUCAACCAUAGAACUGCACUUGAAACUUCUAACCUAGAGUAUGGGAGGGGAAGAUGGAAUUAGUGGUGUAGGGGUAAAAUCCGUAGAUAUCACUAGGAAUACCAAAAGCGAAGGCGAUCUUCUGGAACAAUACUGACGCUAAGGCGUGAAAGCGUGGGGAGCAAACAGGAUUAGAUACCCUAGUAGUC